AAAAAAUCGCGUUUCUGAUUGGCUGGGCCUGUGGGGAUUGAGUAAAGUCGAAGCUGAUUCGUCAGAAACACUACUCUGUAAUAAAGCUCAGUAAAAUGGGCGGAGUGCUGAGAAUCCUCCCUCGAGAGGUAAUAGCAGACUGAAUUCCUCAGACUCCAGAGAUCCAGUUUACUACAACAUGAGUGAUACAGUGCUGGCUAAGCGCGGAGAAGAGCGAGGCUGGGAGAGCACACUGGAUGUCAGUGCUGUCAAGCCUUCAUUUCACCUGUCAGCACGGUGACUGACGUACAAGCACUUGUUUGCCCUUCCUGUGGUCUUCUCUUGCGUGUCCUGACAGGCGCAGGCCUCCGAAGCAGCGCACUUCGCCUCCUGCUACAAGGUCUCUCUCCUCCGGCUCUGCUGUCAGCCUUUGAUCACGGCGAGACUCUCUGUUCUCCACUCAGACGGACGACAGCAGCUCUCCCGCCCCACCGUGGAAUCCUUCCUGCCCCGGCCAGGUGACAGCAGGUGAGAAAAUAGCCGUGUUAUCAGAAGAGAGACUGGAUGAGACCUGUCUACAAUGGGCCCACAUAUUCCCCUGCACAGGCUAGUGAUACUCACCUGAUAAGUGAGGUAGGGGUCAGUUCAGUCACUGAAAAGCACUGCACCUCAAAGACAUGUCAGAAUGGGUGACCCCUCCUGUCCUCUGUUGUUUCUGCCACAGGAUCACUGCUUAAUUUAGUCAGAUGUGCAGGAUAUGCAAAAAUAUAUGUGCGACCGUGUUCGUGUCUGGAUGUAUGGUGACAAAGAGCCGCAUUGUCCUCACUCAGGUUUACCUAUCCUCCAGGUUUACCUAUCCUCCAGGUUUACCUAUCCUCCAGGUUUACUUAUCCUCCAGGUUUACCUAUCCUCCAGGUUUACCUAUCCUCCAGGUUUACCUAUCCUCCAGGUUUACCUAUCCUCCAGGUUUACUUAUC